rnacentral:rRNA from 1 species
GACGAACGCUGGCGGCGUGCCUAACACAUGCAAGUCGAGCGGAGACAGUGAGUAGCUUGCUAUGAGCUGUUUUAGCGGCGGACGGGUGAGUAACGCGUGAGCAACCUUUCCCAGACAGGGGAAUAACACACCGAAAGGUGUACUAAUACCGCAUAAGACCACGGGAUCACAUGGUUCUGGGGUAAAAGAUUUAUCGGUUUGGGGUGGGCUCGCGUCCGAUUAGGUAGUUGGUGAGGUAACGGCCCACCAAGCCGACGAUCGGUAGCCGACCUGAGAGGGUGAUCGGCCACAUUGGGACUGAGACACGGCCCAAACUCCUACGGGAGGCAGCAGUGGGGAAUAUUGGGCAAUGGGGGGAACCCUGACCCAGCAACGCCGCGUGGAGGAAGAAGGUUUUCGGAUCGUAAACUCCUGUCCUUGGAGACGAGUAGAAGACGGUAUCCAAGGAGGAAGCCCCGGCUAACUACGUGCCAGCAGCCGCGGUAA